CACGUAGGGUGCGGGCGUUGUCCGGAAUUAUUGGGCGUAAAGAGCUCGUAGGCGGUGUGUCGCGUCGGCCGUGAAAACCUGCAGCUUAACUGUGGGCUUGCGGUCGAUACGGGCAUCACUGGAGUUCGGCAGGGGAGACUGAAAUUCCUGGUGUAGCGGUGAAAUGCGCAGAUAUCAGGAGGAACACCGGUGGCGAAGGCGGGUCUCUGGGCCGAUACUGACGCUGAGGAGCGAAAGCGUGGGGAGCGAACAGG
rnacentral:rRNA from 1 species